rnacentral:tRNA from 1 species
GGGCGAAUAGCUCAGCGGUAGAGCGCCUCCCUUACAAGGAGGAUGUCGGGGGUUCAAAUCCCUCUUCGCCCACCA